ACACAUAGGGGGGCAGCCACAGGCUCACCCGUCCCCCAUCAGGCCACCCCAAGCAAAAAAAAAAAAAAAAAGCCGAAGUGCCGCUGAAUCAAAAUAUUGGGACAAAUGGCAUCCCAACCUUACAUCAGUCGGGAUGCAGGACAAACAAAUAUCGGGACAGUCCCGAUUUUAUUGGGACGUCUGGUCACCCUAUUCCCGAGAUGUUCAUGACUGAGGUUCUGCUGUAGAUUGCUUUGUUACAUGUAAGCUGAGUGAGUGAGGUGUCUUCCAGGAACAUUCUGCUGGAAGAACCUAUUUCUGAGUUUACACUGUUGUAAAUCUGGAGUAACUCAAUUGAGUUAAAUGGAGUUACUCUGGAUUUACACUAUUCUGUCUUCGAUAUGCUAUUUGUGCCCAUACUACUUUUGCCUAACAUUGUGAAUCUGAGUUCUGAUUUGUGAACUCUUGCACUGAAAAUAUGCAAAAUCUAGAAUAGAUGAAUUUGCUUACAAUAAAGUAAUAAAAUUUCCAGCUACUUUUUUACCUUUUGUUGUUGUUUUGGCAGCUGAGAAGGGUUUAUGUGCUGUGGUGGCCUGAACAUUUGCUUCAUUAAUUAUCCUGAGGGUGGUGGAUGUUUUCGCUACAUCACACCUGAGCAUGGCCCUUUCAAAGGAAAGCUCAGAAAGGGAGGAUAUAGGGAAGAUUAGGUUAGAAGACAGUAGGGUUAUCCUCACUCCUAUUUCCCCACCCCCGCCCCACUCCACUUCCUCAAAGAGACACAUUAAGAGUGAUUUCUCCCACCUAUUUGAUAGGUUGUAUAGACCCUUUGGCACCCCUCAUGCCUGUGAUCCACCCUGUUUAAGGAAAUAACAGCAAUCUAGAGAACUGGAGAGGUGAGCUCCAGCAGAUGGCUCCCUGAAUGGAUGAGUGGAAAGAAGAGGACACCUGCAUUCCUCAGAAACCUAAUUCACUGAAGCAGCUGCACUUCAUUACUAAUUAGGUCGCCUAUAGCAAGGGCAGCCUUACAGAAGAAGCUGCUCAGACAUUUCCUGCGAAUCAAGCUCCAUACUGUCCUGGGUUUUUUCUUUUUAACAUACUUUGUUUUGAGUAGCCUCCCUAAAUACCCUUUUAGCCCCUGAGUCAGAAUUGGCUUGUUUUGCUGAUCUCCCCACACCCAGAUCAGACCUACUUAUGGAGGAAGCUUUCGCUGCAGAGCGGCAAGACUGGAACUAUGCUCAUCCUAUGCCUGGGAGCAACUGUAGCUCACUUCCAUGAAGUCAGGUGAGAUAACUGAUUAUUGCUAAGAUUUGCCUGCUCUGGGUGGGUCCUUUCUGAUUAGAAGGCCAGAACAUUCUCCCUUCUGACAAAUCAUCUUGAGCCAUAUGUGAGCUCAGGAUGGAGGAGCGGGACUGAAGCUUUCCUGGAAAUGCCCACAAGGAGUAAAAUCAAGGUCUUUUCUACCCUGUUUUUCCUGGAAGACAUCAUGGACAUUUGGAGAACCAGUAGAAUAAUGACAUCACAGGUCAAUGAGGUAUUUUCAUUGAGCAGUCCAAAAAUAAAACCGGGGGGGAAGGCCUAAGUCUAGAGAACGAUCCCAGAAAAGCUGCAAAGUAAAGGCAGCAGCACAGAUGAAAUUCCCGAAAGAAUGGAUCCAGUUAAUCACUUUUUAUUUUUUAAAAAGUUCAUAUAUAAAAUGUAGACAGUAAAUAGUCCACUGUAGAGAAGGUUAUUAUCCUACAUUAAAAAAAAUGAACUUUACAUCUUCAUAGUGUCCUUAAAAAGGAUAUUGAUUGAUUUGAUUUUUAGUCUCCACUGUUUCGCAAUAUCCUCUUAAAUAAUAAAAAUAUUUUCUGUACCCAUCAGUUUUGUUUUGUUUUAUAUUAGGCAAAUAUAGAUAUUUUCCUUCUAUCCCCCCCGCCCCCCAGGUGGAUUUCACCCUUUGGAAUAAAGAAUAUGUCCCUCUUUAAGAAGCACCUACAUUUAUUUAAAAAACAAACAAAAACCAAUUAUCAUGGCGGGUUCAGGUAGUUUAACACUUCCCAUUGUAACACUGUUUUCAGUUCCUUAUAACUUUGCCAAAUUUUAAUUGUUCAGGCUGAAAUUUCCCAGGCUACAUGUCUGCCUCAGCCUGAGCCUUUUGGGAAAGUUCCAUCAAAAAUAGUUGAACCCUUCCCCAGAAUGAGAUUAGGGAAAAACAUUCUUUUGCCCAUUUUUCCAGUGUCCUUACUAUGUAUCCUCUCUGUCCACAGCCUUCCCCAACAGCUCUAGCCAGAGGCCUCCAUAAUACAAUGGGCAUGGUAUUGCUCCUCUAUUCUCCCCCUCAACGCACGCACACACCCAAGGCAGAUUUCACACUUUGGAGUGGUACUCCCCCUUUUAAGAAGCACCUUAUAUUUACUUAAAAAAUAAACAAAAAACAGGAAAUAUAUGAGUAGAGUGAAAAACAUUGUUUUUGUUGCUUGCGAAAGUAGUGGCUUCCCCUCCAGUAAGAGUGGGAGAUUUAUUUUUAAAGAUGGAGUACCAAUAUGUAAUCUAUGCAGCUAUUUAAUAGAAACAAUUUAGAUUGAUCUGCAGAAGCCAUCGGUUAGGGCCUUCUCGUACAAUUUUAGAAAGAGCUCUACAUUGAGAUUUAUACCUCAUAUGUAGUUUAUAAUAACCAAAGAAUAAAUUCCUUUGUAUCUACAACCAUAGAAUAAACUGUGUUUAGUGCUUUUGGCUUCCUCAAUUUCCUUCUAAUCCAUCUCCAGUGGGACUACUGCAAAUGUUCCAAUCCUCUCAGCAGCUUUCUAUUAGCUGCUGUUAAAAGUAAGAAUAGAAACAUAAGUGUUUUCUCAAUCUUCUUCCCAAGUAUGGAUCAGGUGAAAACCAAAAGUCAGAUUCUUCUCUAUACCUGUUCUACUCCACUGUAUCUCCACUAACUUUAAUGGAGUUACUCCUCGUUUAUAGCAGUGUAAGAAGAGGAUCAGGGACUGCAAAUUACCCUGAUCCAAGACUGGCAAUAGUCAGUCUUGGAUGAGGAAGUUACUCACCUUAUGCAGUAAUGAUGGUUCUUUGAGUGUCCUGAUGGGUGCUCUGCUGUAGAUGUGUCUGCAUCCCUGCGCUGCUGAUCAGAGAACUUGGGUAGCAGUGUCCAUUCAGCCUGAGCAUGUGCCACCCCAUCAUGCUCUGCCAUGAGGCUAGCCAGUGCUGCGUGUGUGAACCCUCCUCAGUUCCUUCCAUACUGCAGAGUCAUUGACAAGAACUCCAAAGCAGAGGGGAGGAGGGUGGGUCAUGGGGCACCCUUAGGAGGACACAUCUUGAAGAACCAUUGUUACUGUACAAGGUGAGUAAUUUCCUCUUCUUGAGUAGUGUCCCUAUGGGUGCUCCACUAUAGGUGACUCCCAAGCAGUACGCCGCACUGGAGGCUGGGGCUUCUGAGUUGAGUCUAUUAUAGAUAAUAGCACCAUGGCACCAAAUCUGGCGUUUGCAGCAGAGUCCCCCAGGAUGGCAUUGUGCUCUGUAAAGGUAUGUGCAGAUGCCCAGGUAGCUGCUCUGCAGAUUUCUGAUCUAGGGAUACCCUUGGAGAAGGCAAUGGAUGAAGAGACCAAUCUCACAGAGUGUGAAAGUAUCGAAGAUGGGGGUGUUACACUGCAAAUCUGGUAACAGAGUUUGAUACAGUUCAAGACCCAUUUGGAGAGUUCUUGAGUUGAAAUCAUUGUGCCUAUCUGCAAUGGAGAGGAAGAGUCUCUGAGAUUUUCUAAAAACUCUUGUCAUGUCCAAAUAGAAGGUCAAGGCUCUCCUCAUGUCAAGCAUAUGGAGGAUGGUUUUCCUAAUAUCCUGAUGAGGUUUGGGAUAAAAGGUUGGAAGGUGAAUGAGUUGGUUCAUGUGAAGUGCGGAAGUCAUCUUGGGAAUGAACUUCGGAUGUGGUCUAAGCAUGACUUUGUCAGGGAAGAAAACUGUAAAGGGGGUGUACGCCAUCCGAGCCCCUAUUUCCCUUAUCUUUCUUGUCAAGGUGAUGGCAAUCAGGAACACUGUCUUCAUGGAGAUGUGAGUUAAAGGACAAGUGGCCAUGGGUUCAAACGGCGGUCUGGUCAGUCCUUUUAGUACUAGGUUGAGAUCCCAUUGUGGGGCAGGAAGCCUGGGUUGAGGAAAGAGGUUCGCUAUGCCUUUGAGAAACCUCUUAGUAGUCGUGUCGGAGAAAACUGAGUACCUUACUACCUGUAAAUAGAGUCAUCAGUGGACAUAGCACUAGUUGUGACAGGUAAGGAUACCAUGUCUGGGCCAGCCAGGAGCAGUCAGUAUGAUGUUUGCUUUUUAUUUUCAAGAGGACUUUCACAGGGAAUGGGGGAAAGGUGUAAAGAAGGCCCUUGUCUCAUAAGAGGAGGGAAAAGUCGCCCAGGGAGUGUUGUCCAAUCCCCACUCUGAAGCAGUAUUGUGGACAUUUCUUGUUUUGGUAAGUGGCGCACAGGUCUAUUGUCUGUGUCUCCCAUUGCCCCCAUUCAUGGGCAUGUGGAAAUUUGUGACUGAGACUGUCUGCUGUCGUGUUGUGCACUCCCAGUAGGUAGGCUGCUGAUAAUCUGACAUUGUGGGAAAUGCACCAGUUCCAUAGCUUUUGUGCUUCCAUGCACAGGGAGGGUCAUCUAGCCCCUCCUUGUUCGUUUAUAUAAUACAUGCAGGCCAUAUUGUCCAUCAUGACUUCUGUGUGCAUGCCUCUGAUCAGCGGGAUGAAGUGAGAACACGUAUUCCCUGACCACUCCGAGUUUGAGCAGGUUGAUGUGAAGGCAUGUCUCAGAUGGAGACCAUUUGCCCUGCACUGUGCGAUUGCUGAGAUGUGAGCCAAAACCUAUGAGGGAUGCAUCAGUAGUCAGGGGCAGGCUGAACAAACAGGAUUCCUGUGCAGACAUUUAUUGGGUCUUUCCACCAAUACAGGAUUAUUUGAUUUUGGUGGGCAUCAGUAGUAGCUUGUUUAUGUUCUCUGUUCCAUCUGUAAACUGAACCACGCUUGGAGGCAUCUCAUGCUCAGUCUGGCAUGAGCUAUAACCGAUGUGCCCGUGGCCAGAUGCCCCAGAAGCUGGAGGCAGUGUCUAGCUGAAAUUUGGGGUUCUCAUCCUCCAGAUGACCCCUCUGGAUGUCGCUAUGAUCGCAUUACAUAUGAUGGAAUAUCUGGUUUUUGCGUUGCUUUUUUAUAAACCUAGGGAACUCAUCCCUAGAGCACAGUCCAUCAUAUGUACCGAAUGAGACUUCAGUCCUAUGGAAACAAUAGUAUCAUAAUGUAUAUGCACAAGGACGCUGAAGUAAGAUUGUACAGGCAUGUAGUUAGCUCACGAAAGCUUAUACUCAAAUAAAUUUGUUAGUCUCUAAGGAGCCACAAGUACUCCUUUUCUUUUUGCGAAUACAGACUAACACGGCUGCUACUCUGAAACCUGUUUAAAGAUAUAGUAUGCAAGAUCAGGACUAUAAAAUAUACAUUGGUGUGUGGCAACCUAAUGGUUUUAUAGGCAUGAAUUUGGAGUGACUUCAUUACUUGUGUCACCCAAUCAAAUUACCUGAAAUCCAAAAAAUAUAUAUCUUACCUGCUUCACUUUCCAAAUGGACAGAAGUUUCCUCAUCCAACAAAUUUAACCUGAUUCAAAAACCAAAGAGAAUUUGUCAGAUUGAGGACUAAGAUGCAAGAUGUGUUGAAAUGUCAGUGGCUCAACACUAAAGAGAGAAUUAAGGCCUACUUUUCCUCUUGCUAAUGUUGCUUUUACAUUUAUGAUUUCAGUGAGGUAGUUCUGGCUUUACACUGGUAUAAGUGAGAGGAAAAUCUGGCUCCUUGUCUCAAAAUGUAUAUGGCUAAAGCCAAAUCUUGAAAAGACUGAACUCCCUUAAUUCCCAAUAAGUGUUCAGCACUUCUAUAAACUACACCAUUUAUUAAGUGUCUAACUAUUGAUUUAGAAGCCUAACAUCAGGCAGUCAUUUUCAGACCAUCCUGGCCUGUGUUCAUUUUGUAUUUUUCCUUUUUAAAUUAAAUUCUCUGUUCUUGGUGAACUUAAGGUAAUGGAAACUGAUCAAGACAAUGAAGUGAGAAAAUGGUAUUGACAGAUAUAUAGAGAGUAACUCAUAUGAGCUAAUAUCUAUUUACUAUAUCUGUUUUGUUUUUAUUAAGAUGGCAAUAGGUUCUAAAACAUGUUACACAUUGACACAUUUCUUAUAAACAAUUGUGUAACUUUGGCAAAGUUGUGUAACAUUUUUUGUUUAACAUAUAUAAAUUAAUAAACAAGUUAUCAUAAAAGAAGGUCUAAUCUUGCUAAGAACACUGACUACAAACAAUUAUUUUAACCUAACAAGGUGAGAUGUUGUUUUUGGUGGAGGGCGAAAAAAACAGAAAUAAAAAUAUCAAGAAAAUGCCAAAGUGGAAAAAGAAUGAAAAGGGUUAUAAAAUGCAAGCUGGAGAAGAAAGUAAGUGUAUAUGUUAUUAUUUAUGAAUACUAGGAAGCAGAGACCCUCUUCCUAAUGCCCACACCAAACAUGUUCAACAUGUGUUUUUAAUCCUCUACAAUUUCACAUCAUUUUUCUUCCUGCUUACUUAUCAAGGUUUGCACUGAUGGUUUCUUUCUCUAUCUUCUCUUUAUGUUCUUCAGUGGGAUUGUUUAGGGAAGGCUCCUGUGGUUGCUGAGAAGUGGAAAAAAUACAUUUUAAGAGAGGGAACUGAUGAUAUCUACAAAUUCACCUCUCCAAUCUAAUGAUUUGAACACAGUAAUCUGUGUAGCAGUAACUUUUCUCUCAAUUACCUGAUUGUAACAACCAUUUUUUGUAAUUAAGAAAUUCUGGUUAUACUUUAUGAUACUGUGACUGUAGUUACACUGUAAUAUCACAGAUGCACUAAAAUUUUGGUAAUACUUUAUAUAAAGAUUGAUUAAUAGAUAUUUUAGGCAUGUUCUAGACAUGAGUAGUAGGUGUUAUAGAUGGUUAUGAGCACAUCAUUAGACGGAGUUAUAAGUCAUGGAUAGUAAUAAGCGAUCUGUUGGGCUCUAUAAUACUCUAAUAAUUAACCAUUUAUUAAAAUAUCACUUAUUUAUUAACCCCUUAUAUAUUCCAUUUUUAUAAAUGGAACCUUAAUAUAAAGUGUGACCACAGGGUUUUUUGUUUUUGCUUUGUUUUUUAAAUAAAAAUCAGAUAAAUUAACAACUUAUUUAUCCAUUUGACAAACUUGCAAAAUGAGCAUGGGGAAUGGACUUAUUUGUGCCAGACUUGUCAGUAGUUUAAUUCUAGACAUAUAUAUUUCAAUGAUUAUUUGAAUCUGAAAUUUACUUCUCCAAAAAAAACAUAUUUUCUUUUCAAGAACCUUGUAUCUUACAGAAAUAACAUGAAAACUUCACCUCAGGUGCAACACAGUGAUAUGGGUGGACACCUAUGAACUCCUCAUGGAUUUUGGACAUCAGUCCUGCUGUCUUCUUGCAGAAGUGCAAAAGGGUUAUCUGAGAAGGAAAAAGUCAAAGGAGAUAUUACACAGGCUUACCUCUGACAGCUAUUUCUAUCAUUAUUUUCCUGUCUCCUUUGACAUAAGCAAUUUCUAAACAAAUUGAGAGUUCUUCCCAAUCCUGAAUCUCCCAUUUCAGUAAGAAUCUCAUGUAAGGGAUGUUUCAAGAUGGAAACGUGUAACUCUAUACUCCCAGCCAUCUGUUCAUAGGACUUUGUAUGUUCCACAGAGGGAAGAAUUGCUGCUGAAACUACAGGCUUUUCUUCCAGAUAUUGCUGUGGAGAGGACAGGACAUAGAGAAAAUAGAAAAGUUCACUAGGGUGAAGGAGCACAGAAUCUUCUGUUGAGAGAAAGAUUGGAAAGGAGGAUUUCUCUCUGUCCACGAUAUCUUUUGGAAUAAUUUUGCAAAACCCCUUGUGCCAUUUUUUUAAUUUAAACAAGGAUGAAAAUAUAUAUUAAUAUGGACACUAUCCUCUUAGCAAGAAGCCCAAAAAUGUGCAAGAUUCUCCAUUUUGAGGGUUCCUGCCAGAAGCAUGCUUGCUUGUGAAACGCUCAAGUGCCAGCACAUUUGCAGAGAGCAGUAACCUAGGGCUGGACAGGAGGGACUCAAGACUCACUGAUUUUUCAGCCUGUGGAGUUAGAGUGUAGCAGUGAAAAGGAUUGAUAUGGGAUGGGGGAAGAUUUAUCCAAACCAGGAAAAAAUUGUUUGGGUUCAGUUUAUUUCAAGCAUCAGGUUCAUUCUUAUAACUUGAACUGGUUCUCUUAUCCAGGGGCCACUGUAAUCCAUCCAGAAGGCUUUCAGAGCUGCUCCCAUGACGAAUGAUGAGCAAAGCCUUUUGGGUUCACUUCAGGUAGGAAGGCAGGAUGGAGAAUUAGGGUUGGGAGUUCUGAGAGAAUCAGCAGCACUGCAGGUGACAGAAAAUAAACACAGCUGAGCAACAGAAUCUAGGCAGUACUUCUGCUCAGUUAGGCUUUGCAUGGAAGCGCAAGCUCUUUGGUUAGAGGCUCUGUUUUGAUAGCUGAAUCUGUGGAGACUGUUACAGUAACUUUAGGGACGAAGUGAGAAAAUGCCUAUACAACAUCAAUGGCAACAUUUGCCUUGAAAAAAAGUCCUGUUAAUUAGAACUAAGACUCCCAUCUUUAUAUAGCAUAUAUCUGUUUCCACCUAAAUGCAUUUCUUCAAUACAUAUUUCUAGUUUCCAUUCCCUUCUCUCCUAUUUUCAGCUCAUUAAGGAGUUCUCUCCAGAUGUUGCUAAAAUUCAAAAAGCACUGAAAUGAGGACAAUGGACACUGGUAGGCUGGAUGGAUCACAAACUUGUUGAGCUUGAUCCACCACAGCAUUGCUUCAGCUUCAUGUUGAGGUAACUGCAUGCAUUUACUCUCUAAAACUGGAAUACAACAAAGCCUCUUAUAAAAUAGAAAUUCUUCCAAGAAAUCCCAAAGGAAGGUGCUAAAACCUUGUCUGUCCAAGUCUGCUAUGUAUUUCAAAACAUAAUCACAGUAUUUAUAAAUUAAUCAGUGUGUGUAUUCAAAUGCUUCCUUCACAAUGGACAUAUUGGCCAUCAACUACAUCCUGUAAAUAUCAGAAGAGAAGUUGCUAUCACCAGUACAUUGCUGCUUAUAAGAUCUUGUUCACUUUUGUGCUCUGGUUUAACAACUUCAUUCUCCCACAUUAUAUCAAAAAGUUAUUUUCCCUUCAAAUGUCCAGUGUAAGGCAUUCUGCAAAUCUAACAUGGAUACCUGAUAGAUAGCAAGGUAAUGAGACAACAUAUUGCAGCGACUAGCUCCAAGUAGAUCCACCUUCUGACAGACAUCCAUUUUCAACUUGUCAAAUUGGGCUUUGGUAUUUUUCACUUGUGUCUGCACCUAGAACCAUGAAAGUUGAAAUACAUAAUAGCAAAAGGAGGUCAUAGGUAUGUGUGUGUGUUGCAGAAAAGAACUCCUGAAAAUGUUUCACAGUCCUAGUAUGUACAGCAGUCUUGUCCUGGAGCAUCUGUAGGAGUAAUUUGUAGGCCCCAUUGUAUAGGUAUUGCACAUGCACACAUACUGUAGAGAUUGUCCCUGCCCUAAAGAAUUUAUAAUCAAAUGUCAAAAACCCUAUAAAUUAGCUGCUAAUUAUGGUCUUGUCACUUCCAAAAGGAAAAAAUAUCCUGUUUAUAUGCAAGAAAGUAAUGUUAAAGUUGACAUAACAUUCAGAUAAACACUCAGGAAAUUCAGAAUUACAGUGCCCACAGCACCUUUAAUUGCCCUCUUGCAGGAAUACACUACAAUCUGGUCUUGUGACUGCACACAGGGGCAAUAUCUGGUUUGCAGUAAGUAAGGAGUCUGACUUCCCUUCACCCCUCUCUUUGGUCAAGUGCUAAAAGAAUAGUUGCAGGGAGGCUAGAAUGAGGAAGGCAAGGUGCUACACCUGAGUUGGGAAAUUUUUAUGAUAUAUAUUUUUUGUUUAUGGUAAUGUGCUCUGAUUUUUGCUGAUAAGCACCUUCUUCUGCUUCAAUAAUCAAAUGAUUUUUUUUUUUAAUUUUAUCUUUUCUGACUUACCUCAGCGGGUUACAUGUAGUGUCAGGGAUUUUAAAGCAAGAAGGAGAAUAUGUGUACGCUAACAAUGUGGAGCAAAAGAACCGGAUGAAGUGGUAAGAGGAACAGCAGCAGAAAUAACAAGAGAAGCAACAUCAGCUCCAGUAAUGUAUACAGCUGCAGUAACAAAACCACCACCAACAGGAAUUGGUGGAGAUGAUGAGGCAAGCUUUACUUGUCAAGGGAGGUGAUCUGUCUUCUGUUACCCUUACAGGAGGAGGGUUCUUAACCAAAAUGGGACCUCUGUAUUAUAAUGAAGAUCAUACAGUACUCUGUUUUGUUCAGCAAUACAAAAUGUUAUUUAAAUUACUGACAAUUAUAACAAGUACAGUUUUUUCAAUUACUGUAUUUUAUAAUCAGUGAGUCACAUUGCCUUGUGUUGUGUGACCACAUGAUUUACUGUAAUCAAAUACUCAAGACAUGUCUCUACUAAGAAAACUUAAAAAAUCCUCCUGGUGCAUCCUAGUAUAAAAGACAAGGCUGUGGUGGCCAGACACACCCAGCGUGAGCUCUGUGCCUGGAGUCCAGGCAGUUCCUGGGAGCCUCGGUGAGCUGCUAGGCUCCCCACAGCUGAAAUGGUACUGUACUUGAUUUGUCUUUCUCUACACUUGGAACUAAACCAUGUUCAACUGCACACAUUGCUGGCAACAAGAAGGAAAUAAAUACUUUUCUGAACUUCUCCAUUUGCUUGCAGGUGUCAGGAUCCAGUUCUUGGGACACAUCCUUCAUCCACAGCAAGGCCCCUCUGUAUUCUAUGCGGGCCUGCUCCAUACGAUCAAUUGUUAACAAGGUAUCAGACACAGCCCUGUGACUGAAUGUUGCCAAUUCCUGCCCAAGGCGAGACAAGGGGGUACAAAGGGCUACCCUGGAGGACUCCUGCUUGAUUCACUGCAUAGGAUGAACUUGCUCUAGGGAUGGAUCAGGAUUGUGUAGUGAAGGAGGCUGUUGUCUGUACAACCCCUGCUUCAUUUGCUACAGGAGUUGGAAAAUGUGUAGUGAAUGAGGAAGGGGAUUUCAGGAAGAAAUGAAUGGUUCCGUGAUUAAGGCAGUUGAAUGCUGCCUGGCAGAAUUGGAUUCUAUCUCUGCCUCCGCCAGUGUUUGUACGUGAUGUUAGGCAAGUAAGUUAAACCAAUUUUUUCAUAGGUGGUCACCAAUUGUGUGUUGCUGGGUAUGAAAUGCACAAGUGCUAAGCAUUCACAGCUGCAGCUGAAGUCAAUGGGAAAUGUGCUUUGGUCAUAGAAAGUGCUGUAUAGUGCUAUGUACUCUGAAAAAUUAGGUGUCACAAAUCAGCCACCUAAAAUUAGUGGAUACUUUUGACCUUAAUCUCUCUGUGCCUCAGUUCCUCAUCUGUAAAAUGAGUACAGUAUCCAUUCAUCUCACAGGGGUCUUGUGAAAGCAAAUUGAUAUUUGUGAAGCACUCAGAUACUAUAAUAAUGAGUACCAUAGAAAAGCCCAUGAAGAAAUUAAUAAUUCUGACUUCAAAGCAGAGUUUGAAUAGCGUGGAAUAAGGAAGGCCUGGGGCCACACAUUGAACAAUGAGGAUAAAACAAAAUUUUGAAUCGCUGCUCACUGAGUGAGAACCAUUCAUUCUCUGCACUGGAUGAAGCAGGGAAAUAAGAGAUGUUAUGUACUUAAAGACUGUAUCAUAAUGCCUACGUGCAAGGGGACCAAAUUAAGGAUGUACAGGCAACCUUAAUUCUGGCAUUUCUUAACUUUUGAGCGGUUGAUUUUGCAACCAUGAUAAUGUUUUUUUAUGUAGUCUUUUUGUGUUUAAUGUAUACAAACACACACAUUACAGUUCUCACCUCAGCAGGAGGCAAUAGAAACAACAUUUGGUACAGAGGUAAUACCUAAUGGGACUUUUUCAUGCUUUUUGGUGGUCCAAUAAAAAUAUUUUGACAAGCUCUAAGGUUUUAAAAAUCUAUCAUGAAGAUACUGUAAUUUUAAAAAUUAUAGUAGGAGAUGGUUAUCAUUAAUAUGCUAACAUUCUAUUACCACUGCACAUGUAUGCACAAAAUAACAGAGUGAAAUUUUAGAUCAACACAUUAAAAAUUUGUGGAAAAAUUAUCUCCUCCAAUGCACAAGUGUGUUAUCAUUGAGGCAGGGUUAAUGAGGAUCCUUGCCUUGUUCCAUACAGUCUUUGAAGGGCUUCAGCCUUGCCUCAUAGCACUGUCUGGCAAAUAAUUCCACAUUUUGGAAAUUAACUUUAUCAUUUCAUUUUUUAAAAACCCUAUGAAAUUCCAAGAAAGAAACUGUAUUAAAAGAAAUUGAAGACCAUGAUCCUGAUUAAUGUUCUGCAUGCAAAGUUAAAUCUGAGUACUCCUGUGCAUAAAGUUAAGCACCUGCACAAAUGUUUGCGGUAUCAGGACUUAAGGUGUGAGAUGAAGUACUCAAAAAGUUAACUAACUUUGCCCCACAUUCAUAAGACUUAUGAUAGUCUUACACAAUCACAUGCUAUUAUUUCUAAACCUGGUUGGAAAUUUUCCAUUGGAAUAUUUGUUGUUGGAAAAUACCAAUUUGUGAAAAGCAAAAUGUUCUGCAGGUUUCAAAGGAAAUUGGCCAGGGCCUUCCAGGCUCAACUAAUCUUUCAAAGGAAAUUAGCCACGGCUUUGUGGGCUCCAGCUCAUCAUCAGUCUGCCUAGUGGCUGCUGAGGCUCCAAGAGUUUCCAGAUGUCUGGCUUCUCAGCAGCCUGAAAACUUCAAGGCCAAGUUCCAAAGCUCCCAGAUUCUUGACAGGUUUCCUGGGAUGGGGGCAGUCAUGGAGUAGUGGAGGCCAGCGCUUUCAGGCUCCACACUCCUUGACAGCCCCAGAAGCAUAUUUCAUUUCAGAAACAAAGUAUUCCAGAAUUUGACUUCCACAAGAAAUUGAGGUUUUGAUUUUCCCAAUUUGAGCUGAAUUUUUUUCCCCAAAGCUCAAGUUCUUUUGUUUUUAAAGAGGUGAAAUUCACUUUCUUGUUCAGUUAUAUUUAUUUCUACAGGUCCCCUGCUGCAUUUGAUGUGCAAGCUGAAUGGCGAACAGUGAAUGAGGCAAGGUUAAACAGUCAAUGAGAGGUGCUGAGAGCCAAAUUGUUUGCAACUACCAUUCACUUUACACUUGUUUAACUGAGGCAUUUUCUAGACUAGAAUUGAAGAUGUGAUGUUAGCCUGUGUUAGCAUAUAUAACACACUUUAAAAGUCUAUUACAGAUAAGGCACACUGCCUUUAACACGUGCUAAACUGGUCAAGUUAAACCUGGGGGGAGUCCAGGCUUCAAUUCGACCAGCUGAGCAUGUGUUAAAGGCAGUUUGCCUUGUCUGCACUAGACUGAUGUGUUAGCAUACGUUAGCUAAUGUGUGCUAAUCUAUUUUAAUUCCUAAUCUAGAUAAAGCGUGAGAGCACAUCUGGGACCUCAGUGGACAGGGUAGACUUUAUAGAGUGAAUGAAGCACGAUUAAAAAUACAUAUUUAAUCCACUGUGCUUCAUUCAACCUGUGCUCUGAAUUAGUCAUAUUUAUAUUCAUUAACUAACUAAAGAAUGUAUUAUGAUGCAAACACAAAAGUGGCAUAAUUAAGGUUGUCUGGGUAACCUUAACUUUUGGAUUUCCUAACUUUUGGUAUGCUUUACUUUACAAUUUUAUUUUUUUUAAACAUAGGUUAAAAUUUAGAACUUGCAUAUAACUUUUCAGUGCACUUUAGAGGAGGGUAAGAAUUAUCUCCAUUUUACACAUGAGGAAAACUGAGGCAAAUAUAUGAAGUAAUUUGUCCAAGAUUACUCAGCAGGUCAUUGACGGACCUGGGAUUGGAAUCCAGGUCUCCUGACCCCAGGUCACAUGUCCAUAUACCGAUUCUGCAGAAUCCUUUGAAAUUGAAAAUAGCUUUCGAUAUACCAGUAUGUCAUGCUCAGUUUUCUGAAGGAAUACCGCAUUUAAGAUAAACUAAUGCACCCCAUACUAAUUAAAAUGUUCUGUGACACUCCUGUCUUUGCUUCAAACAGCAGUAAAACCCAUUAAGAAUGGCCUUAUUAAAGAACCUCUUUUCAAUAACCAAAGUACCCUUUUCAAGGCAGAGAUAGCAAAGAAAUCAGUUUUAAAGAGAAAUAUUACUUCCUUCUACAUCAGAUUGUUUUUCCUUUGUGAGCUUGAAGAUAUUGGGUAAAAUGCAGUCAUGUUGUAAAUAAAUGCAAUACCCAUAUAAGUCUCUGGCUAACUUCUAUGAUGUAAAUGAUGUAUAUUAAUCAGACAACUGGUGUAAAUGAUAUGGUAGUCUAAUUUGCAAGAGAAGUCCAUCAGGCCUGAUUCUGCCAUCCUUAGUCAUAAUAGGUAACAAUUCAUACUCACAUAGGCCCAUUAAUUGCAAUGAGACUGCUUACAUAGUAAGGUACUACCUGACAUGAAUAAGGUUGGCAAAUUAAAGCUCUCAGCAGAGAUUAAAAUGAGUAAUUUACACACCAAGGGCACAAACAAGGGAAUACAGUAGUAAAACCAGCUACUAGGAUGGUGUAACAGCAUAGGGGAGAUGCUGCUCUGUUCCCUGAUGCAAUUUUCCUGCUGCCCCUUCUCAGUGUUACACUCGUUUAGUAUAUUGGUGCAAGCUAUACUACUUUAUCAUUUGCACCCACUUAUAAUGUGUUUUGAUCAAUUUACUCAUGACAUUUAAUUUACACCACAGUGUAGACUGCAGAAUUUGGCCAAUUCACUGCAGCAUGUUUUAUUUGUAAGUUCAGUUCAAUUCUAUAUUUAUAUUUGCAAUUUAAAUUACACUGAUUGUACUGUCUGUACUUCUUGAUUAUUUGUAUUUUCUGUAUAUAUUCUUCUAUUAUAGUCUAUUUGUUUUACAUAAAAUUAUAUUUGCUUUCUGUGGA